GGUCACGGUCAGCAAUCCACACUUCUCAGAGGGCUGUGGAUUGAAACAAACAUUGGUUUCUUACCAAAGUGAUGGAAGGUGCAGAGCCAAGAGAAGCCCACACAGACCACCUCUUAAAUAGCAAAAUCCCAAACAGAACACUCGGGUGAGAGGAAGGACAGCCGUAAGACACCUAAAAGUAGCACCUACACCAAACU